AAGUCCAAGCCAUGUAUAUCUGG
rnacentral:piRNA from 1 species